rnacentral:rRNA from 1 species
UACGGAUGGAGCUAGCGUUGUUCGGAAUUACUGGGCGUAAAGCGCACGUAGGCGGCUUUGUAAGUUAGAGGUGAAAGCCCAGGGCUCAACCCUGGAAUUGCCUUUAAGACUGCAUCGCUUGAACAUCGGAGAGGUAAGUGGAAUUCCGAGUGUAGAGGUGAAAUUCGUAGAUAUUCGGAAGAACACCAGUGGCGAAGGCGACUUACUGGACGAUUGUUGACGCUGAGGUGCGAAAGCGUGGGGAGCAAACAGG